GAUGAACGCUAGCGGGAGGCCUAACACAUGCAAGCCGAGCGGGAUUUAUUGAGUAGCUUGCUACUUAAUAAUGAGAGCGGCGCACGGGUGCGGAACACGUGUGCAACCUGCCUUUAUCUGGGGGAUAGCCUUUCGAAAGGAAGAUUAAUACCCCAUAAUAUAUUGACUGGCAUCAGUUGAUAUUGAAAACUCCGGUGGAUAGAGAUGGGCACGCGCAAGAUUAGAUAGUUGGUGAGGUAACGGCUCACCAAGUCUACGAUCUUUAGGGGGCCUGAGAGGGUGAUCCCCCACACUGGUACUGAGACACGGACCAGACUCCUACGGGAGGCAGCAGUGAGGAAUAUUGGACAAUGGGUGAAAGCCUGAUCCAGCCAUCCCGCGUGAAGGACGACGGCCCUAUGGGUUGUAAACUUCUUUUGUAUAGGGAUAAACCUUUCCUCGUGAGGGAAGCUGAAGGUACUAUACGAAUAAGCACCGGCUAACUCCGUG
rnacentral:rRNA from 1 species